rnacentral:rRNA from 1 species
UUGCAGUUAAAAAGCUCGUAGUCGGAUGUCGGGCUCGGGCAGGCUGUCGGCCUCUGGUCGGACGGCAGGCUCGGGUCUUUUUGCCUGGGGGCUCCGUCACACUUAACUGUGGGGCGGUAGGUCGCAGGCCGUUUACUUUGAAAAAAUUAGAGUGUUCAAAGCAGGCCUACGCUUGAAUACAUUAGCAUGGAAUAAUGGAAUAGGACUUUGGUGCUAUUUUGUUGGUUUAUGGGACUGAAGUAAUGAUUAAUAGGGACAGUUGGGGCCGUUUAUAUUUCGUUGUCAGAGGUGAAAUUCUUG